rnacentral:rRNA from 1 species
CCUACGGGAGGCAGCAGUGGGGAAUAUUGGACAAUGGGCGAAAGCCUGAUCCAGCCAUGCCGCGUGUGUGAAGAAGGCCUUCGGGUUGUAAAGCACUUUCAGUGGGGAAGAAAGCCUUGGGGCUAAUACCCUCGAGGAAGGACAUCACCCACAGAAGAAGCACCGGCUAACUCCGUGCCAGCAGCCGCGGUAAUACGGAGGGUGCGAGCGUUAAUCGGAAUUACUGGGCGUAAAGCGCGCGUAGGCGGUCUGAUAAGCCGGUUGUGAAAGCCCCGGGCUCAACCUGGGAACGGCAUCCGGAACUGUCAGGCUAGGGUGCAGGAGAGGAAGGUAGAAUUCCCGGUGUAGCGGUGAAAUGCGUAGAGAGCGGGAGGAAUACCAGUGGCGAAGGCGGCCUUCUGGACUGACACUGACGCUGAGGUGCGAAAGCGUGGGUAGCAAACAGGAUUAGAUACCCUAGUAGUC